rnacentral:rRNA from 1 species
UACAGAGGGUGCGAGCGUUGUUCGGAAUUAUUGGGCGUAAAGGGCGCGUAGGCGGUGCGGUAAGUCACCUGUGAAAUCUCCUGGCUCAACUGGGAGCUUGCAGGCGAAACUGCCGUGCUGGAGUGUGGGAGAGGUGCGUGGAAUUCCCGGUGUAGCGGUGAAAUGCGUAGAUAUCGGGAAGAACACCCGUGGCGAAGGCGGCACUCUGGGACGGUACUGACGCUGAGACGCGAAAGCGUGGGGAGCGAACAGG